CCCUGGUUAGCUGAAUCGGUAGAGCGCUCCACCUGUAAUGGAGAGAUGUCGGGUUCGAUACCCGGACCAGGCG
rnacentral:tRNA from 2 species